rnacentral:rRNA from 1 species
GUACGACAGACUGAGGGUAAGGAGUUUCGGCUCCUUUCCCUUUAAAUCUCAGCCGCACGACUGUGUGUGUUCGUGGCAAGUUGCUUUCACUUAACUGUGAAUACAAUCCAUAAACCCUAUGUCAUUGCAGCCAAAGAAACAAAUGAACAACGUUGUGAGCUCAAGCUCGGACGAAAGUCUGUUUUUGGGUGAACGGCAUUGAACAUCUAUGAAUUAGACCUCAGAUGAAGUGGGAAGACCCCCUGAAUUUAAGCAUAUUAUUAAGGGGAGGAAAAGAAACUAACAAGGNAUUCCCCUAGUUAACGGCGAGUGAAAGCGGGNAAGAGCUCAAAAUUAAAAUCCGCUGGUCUAACAGCCUGCGGAGUUGUAAUCUAGAGAGGCUCUCUCAGUGCCAGCCUGGUUAUAAGUCCCUUGAAACGGGGCAUCAUAGAGGGUGAGAAUCCCGUCUUUGAGCCGGAGCUAAGCGCGUACGAGGAGUUUUCUAAGAGUCGCGUUGCUUGGGAGUGCAGCGCUAAAUGGGUGGUAAAGUUCAUCUAAAGCUAAAUACUGGCGAGAGACCGAUAGCGAACAAGUACCGUGAGGGAAAGAUGAAAAGAACUUUGAAAAGAGAGUUAAAAAGUACUUGAAAUUGUUAACAGGGAAGGGCAGGAAACCAGUCAUUUCUUUGUGCCAUUCGCUUUUCCUUCGGGAGG